GCCUGCAGAAGGGGAGGGGGUUGUGUCUGCUUGCUCCAGUCACUCUGAAGGCAGCGUGUGCGCGGGAGCGGGAGCGGAGCCUGCCCGAGCUAGAUGCUUUCUUGUCCUCCCAGAGACGCUUGCUGCUUCACCCUUGGACCUGUCUGACUUUAGUAGAGAGACCAUGACUGAAGUCCUGUUCUCAGCUGUUUUGAAUGGGACUGAAGCCAACUUGCUGUCCAGCAGUGUUUGGUCUCCGGGAAAUGCCACUAGCAAAUGUUCCCUCACAAAAACUGGCUUCCAGUUCUAUUACCUGCCCACCGUCUACAUCCUAGUCUUUAUCACCGGGUUCCUGGGCAAUAGUGUGGCAAUCUGGAUGUUUGUCUUCCACAUGAGGCCUUGGAGUGGCAUCUCAGUUUACAUGUUCAACCUGGCAUUAGCUGACUUCUUGUAUGUCCUGACUCUCCCUGCCCUGAUUUUUUAUUACUUUAAUAAAACUGACUGGAUCUUUGGAGAUAUCAUGUGCAAACUGCAAAGGUUCAUCUUCCAUGUGAACCUCUAUGGCAGUAUUCUUUUUUUGACUUGCAUCAGUGUGCAUAGAUACACAGGAGUGGUGCAUCCUUUGAAAUCACUGGGGCGGCUGAAAAAGAAGAAUGCUGUUUAUAUCAGUACCCUUGUCUGGGUCAUUGUUGUGGCUGUGAUCUCUCCAAUAUUCUUCUUUUCUGGAACUGGGUUAAGGAGAAAUAAAACCAUUACAUGUUAUGACACUACUGCUGACGAUUACCUGAGAAGUUACUUCAUUUACAGUAUGUGCACCACUGUGUUCAUGUUCUGCAUCCCAUUCAUAUUGAUUCUUGGUUGCUAUGGGCUAAUAGUGAAAGCUUUGAUUUACAAGGAUUUGGACAAUUCUCCUCUUAGGAGAAAAUCAAUUUACCUGGUUAUUAUCGUGUUGACAGUCUUUGCUGUAUCUUAUCUUCCCUUCCAUGUAAUGAAGACCUUGAAUCUAAGAGCCAGGCUAGAUUUUCAGACUCCUCAAAUGUGUGCCUUCAAUGACAAGGUUUAUGCCACAUACCAAGUGACAAGAGGUCUGGCUAGUCUCAACAGCUGUGUAGAUCCUAUUCUCUACUUUUUGGCAGGUGAUACCUUCAGAAGAAGGCUGUCAAGGGCAACUCGAAAAGCAUCUAGAAGAAGUGAACUGAAUGUGCAAUCAAAAAGUGAGGAAAUGACUCUCAAUAUUUUAGCAGAAUAUAAACAGAAUGGAGACACAAGCUUGUGAAUGAAAAAGAUUUGCAAACAGAAGCACAGUCCACCUGGUUUUAACACAGUAGGACACCACACUGUCAUGAGUGUUUGGGAAAAUCUACCAAGCUUGCUUUUGUAAAAAACAAAAAAAAAAAACAAAAAGCAAACAAACAAACAAAAAAAAACUCAUUUUCUGAGCCUAGGGAAAACUUGAGCAAAGUCCUACCACAUCCAGAACUACCAUCCUGCUCCGAUGUGACUCCCUGAUGUGCACAUAUUGAGAUGUCACAGUUACCACUAAACCCAGCUGGAACAUGGAGCUGAUCCACACAAUCUCAUGUUAAGUCCCUUCUUCUUUUUCUAAAACAUUGCUGUAUUUGGCAUAUACUCUAUAUCGUAGAGUAGGUAGAUCGAUGGCAAGAUCAUACAGAAAAGACUUCUUAACUCCAUUCUCCAGCAUGGUUACUUUGUAUCUGCAACAUCACAGCACAGUGUAUAUUGGGCCAUCACAUCGAAGAGGAAGCUGGUCAACUAUGGCAAUUACAGACCGUAAAUAAUAGGUUUUCCUAGAACAGUGUUUCUUAACCUUUUUAGACUUAAGGCAUCCCUUGGAAAGUAUUCGGUCUUAGCUUUCACUCAAUUUCUUGACCAUGGAAAAAUGAUAAAGUAGUUCUUCUGUUGCAAAGAUCUUAGACUACAACAAGCCAGAAUGGCUUUGACACUGUAGAUACAUAUUUGAAAUCUCUGGGUUUACCUGGUGAAUCAUAUAGGUAUUUAUAUCCCACAACACCCUUAAAUGGAUCUCAUGGCAUCCCAGGAUGUCACAACACCCUGGUUGAGAAUCAUUGUCCUGGAAAGCAGGUUAAAUGCCCCUCUUAACUUACCCCUGAAGGUAUAUCGGCAAUAUAUAUUUUGUACUAAAAAUGAUCACCCUGACUAGUUUUGAGGCUAAAGAUGCCUUGCAUUUAUUCACAGAACAAGCAUGGUAUAGGUGAUAGAAGGGUAAACUUCCCCUAAAUCACCUCAGCAUUGUUUCUCAUUCCUGGCCAAAAGGGACCAUCUUUAGGUAGGUAAGAAGAACUUGGUCUAUUCUAUUCAGUCUUUGACUUUGCUGAAGCUUCCGACUAUGAUGUCAUUUAGCAACAACGAUGAUAAUUCCUUUUGUGGUCUUGUUCAAUGGUAACUGAAUCUAGGCAGUCACUUCAUCAUAAAAAGACCACCUUCCAGUACUGACUUUACUAAACUUGAACCAGCAAGUUAAGUGAUUGCUCUGUGUUUUAUGGUUAAUUCCUUGGGCUUAUUUUUUUGCUUUCCAUCUUUGCUGGUCAUCUUCAAAACAUAAAUUAUUUAUUGAGGGAACCAUUACAACCCUUGGGGUAAAUGCUUUUAACAGACUGGAUACCUGACCUACUAAGCAGAGCUACGGAGAUCCAUAAAGAAGCAAAUGACUAUUCAUAGGAUACAAUUUGCAUUCAGCUCCAUUGAGCUAAAUUUUUCUCAUUUAUGCCCGUGCAUUUCCAGGAAGAGUAAUGUUUAAUGCAAAAUGAAACAUCCAUGGAAUCCAGUUCCUGCACAUAGGCUACAGGCACUUUUGGCUGGGUAUCUUGGCUGUUUAAAUUAUGUUUUGCUUUUAUAUAAUCAGUUUUGAGUCAAGUUUAUGUACUACAGCAAAAGCUCUGUUAUCCGGCACCCAUGGGGAAUGGGCUAUUUCACCUGCUGUUUCCCCAUCUGUGGAGAAGUGAUGGUACAGGACAUAGGAGAGAGCAUAACUCCUGGUAUAUUUUACUGGAAUCUAAGUACAUAAUGCUAUAUAAAAUGAUAAUUACUUUUAUAUACCCAUCUCCCACUCCCAAAAUGUAGUCUCAAGAAAAUAAUAUUCCUUUGGGUAUGAGGAGGGAGGAAGAGGGAAAACAUGUUUCAAAUUCUUCAUUCUUCUGGGGGGUUUUUUGCCCCAUGUUACUUUUAUCCCCUAAUAAUGUAUACAGCUUUCUGUCUGUGACAAGGGCAUAUUUUCUAAAAAUAUAACUUAAUACAUACUAUUCCUAGCCUAAGUAUUAAAGUGCCCAAUUUCUGCCUGGAGUCAAGUUUUGUGAGAGAGAGAGAAAUGCACUGUUUUGCUAAAUGUUGCCUGAAGUUCUCUCUCAGUCUAGGCAUUUCUUCCAUGUUUAUGAGUUCGUGUGUUUCCACAAUUUCCAGUAAUGUCUACAGAAGUUACAGCACUAAUGAUACAUAAUGGUUUACGUGUUCAGUACAUUAUUAUACAAACAUCAUUGUCCCUCUGAGUUAGGUAAAUUAUCCCUAUGUAUACACGAAAAAGCUGACAGAGAGAGGUAAAGCAAAUUGCCCAGGGCCAAACAUUUAAUCGGCAACUGAGAUGGGAUUGGAACUCAGGAGAGUGACUCUCUCAACCUAUUUAUAUAAACUAUGCUGCUUUUGUGCACGUAAUUCAGUAAGAAUCUUGCAUGUGUACCUGAGGGAAGAAUUUGCCCUUCACAUGAAAGCUAUUCUAAAAAUACUAAGAAAAACUUAACUACAGUACAGCUGUUAACUAGCAACAUUUUGCUGCUCAUAUGUUUAUUGUAUUAUUUUUAAUUCCAGAUGUUUUAGACACUAUUGAAAAUUUGACUGCUUCAUCUGCAUCUGUUACAGAAUAUUAUGUCUGGGGUGUAAUUGUAUUUCAUCAUAAUUUCAAACUAAUAUGACGGAAUAAAACUUGUGAUUCAUAGGCUAUUUUUUGUGAAUUUGGACUAUAUUGUGUCUCAUGUGAGUAUGUGAAAAUGUUUAUUUUUCUGUUGUUCUAUGUGAUUUGCUAUUGUUGAGUAAAUCCAAUUUAUUUGUGAUUAACAGUGCCAUUUAAUUUUAUUUGCCAACAGAGCAGUGUUACUUGAUAUUUAAGCUUCUCAGGUUUCGUAGUUAGUUUAAACCAGUAGUAGCUGAAAAAAACAGAAUUGUAUAUAACUCUUAUGAAUAAAAAAGAUGUCCGUUUUUUAUGAAACACUGUUGUUUGCAUGCAGUUUUUUGUGUAAGGCAUGGCUACUGAAGCUGUAACUAUUUUUAGUGACAACAGAACUGCAGUGCAACCGCCAGAGUUACUGGCAUUGUACCUAGCAACUUAAGACUGAACAAGACCCAAUAAAAUCAUGAAACAUU